rnacentral:rRNA from 1 species
AGAGUUUUGGAUCUGGCUCAGAUUGAACGCUGGCGGCAUGCUUUACACAUGCAAGUCGAACGGCAGCGAGGAGAAGCUUGCUUCUCUGUCGGCGAGUGGCGAACGGGUGAGUAUAGCAUCGGAACGUGCCAAGUAGUGGGGGAUAACCAAACGAAAGUUUGGCUAAUACCGCGUAAGCUCCAAGGAGGAAAGUAGGGGACCUAAAUAAGGCCUUACGCUAUUUGAUCGGCCGAUGUCGGAUUAGCUAGUUGGUGGGGUAAUGGCUCACCAAGGCAAUGAUCCGUAGCGGGUCUGAGAGGACGAUCCGCCACACUGGGACUGAGACACGGCCCAGACUCCUACGGGAGGCAGCAGUGGGGAAUUUUGGACAAUGGGGGAAACCCUGAUCCAGCCAUGCCGCGUGUAUGAAGAAGGCCUUUGGGUUGUAAAGUACUUUUGUUAGGGAAGAAAAGCUAGUUUUUAAUAAAAAUUAGUGAUGACGGUACCUAAAGAAUAAGCACCGGCUA